AGCAUGAGGCGAGCUUACCAUGCAGUCGAGCGGUAACAGGGGGUGCUUGCACCCCGCUGACGAGCGGCGGACGGGUGAGUAAUGCAUAGGAAUCUGCCCAGUAGUGGGGGAUAGCCCGGGGAAACCCGGAUUAAUACCGCAUACGCCCUUUGGGAGAAAGCAGGGGAUCUUCGGACCUUGCGCUAUUGGAUGAGCCUAUGUCGGAUUAGCUAGUUGGUGGGGUAAAGGCCUACCAAGGCGACGAUCCGUAGCUGGUCUGAGAGGAUGAUCAGCCACAUCGGGACUGAGACACGGCCCGAACUCCUACGGGAGGCAGCAGUGGGGAAUAUUGGACAAUGGGGGCAACCCUGAUCCAGCCAUGCCGCGUGUGUGAAGAAGGCUUUCGGGUUGUAAAGCACUUUCAGUGAGGAGGAAAACCUUCUGGUUAAUACCCAUGAGGCUUGACGUUACUCACAGAAGAAGCACCGGCUAACUCCGUGCCAGCAGCCGCGGUAAUACGGAGGGUGCAAGCGUUAAUCGGAAUUACUGGGCGUAAAGCGCGCGUAGGUGGUUUGAUAAGCGAGAUGUGAAAGCCCCGGGCUUAACCUGGGAACGGCAUUUCGAACUGUCA
rnacentral:rRNA from 1 species